AGGGCAUUGUGUUGCACGCUGAGAAUGUCGUGUUUCUGUUUCACAGGGAGUCUCUGGGAGAUCUGGGCUCUCAGGGCAGCUGAAUAGAAGUGCAGCCCCGACUGAGCAGCUCAGCUCAGCACAAAGGGCUGGAGCACAAUGGGAAAUCCUCCUUUGUUAAUCCCACUGCCGGCUGCUUCCCUCACUUCGUUCCCAGGUGCUGCUUCCCAGGAAAAACCCCAUCCAGCCAGGAGGUGUGGAUGCCAAGGAGCACGCCCAGCAGAGCACCAGGAGCCUGGCACUGCAUGCAGCUUGCCCCACGAGGUGCCAGAAGGACUCAAAGCCAGCCCACACUCCUGCCUGUCCGUGAGGCACAGAGCAGGAAUUAUUGUGUGGGCUCUCUGGGGCAGGUGAUGCACUACAAACUGCCCAAGAGGGGAUUCACAAUUAUUCUAUUCUAUUCUAUUCUAUUCUAUUCUAUUCUAUUCUAUUCUAUUCUAUUCUAUUC
rnacentral:lncRNA from 12 species